rnacentral:tRNA from 1 species
GGAGAGAUACCCAAGAGGCUGAAGGGGACGGUUUGCUAAAUCGUUAGGGGGAAGAAAUUCCCCGCGGGAGUUCGAAUCUCCCUCUCUCCGCCA